UACGUAGGGUGCGAGCGUUGUCCGGAAUUAUUGGGCGUAAAGAGCUUGUAGGCGGUCUGUCGCGUCUGCUGUGAAAAUCCGGGGCUCAACCCCGGACUUGCAGUGGGUACGGGCAGACUAGAGUGUGGUAGGGGAGACAGGAAUUCCUGGUGUAGCGGUGAAAUGCGCAGAUAUCAGGAGGAACACCGAUGGCGAAGGCAGGUCUCUGGGCCACUACUGACGCUGAGAAGCGAAAGCAUGGGGAGCGAACAGG
rnacentral:rRNA from 1 species